ensembl:snoRNA small nucleolar RNA SNORD52
UGCGCUGAUGAGUUUGCUCAGACUAGAGUCUCUGACUUGUUUUGAUGUCUCUUCAAGCCCUGAGCA